rnacentral:tRNA from 1 species
CAAAUUAGAGCUUGAAUUAAGUUUUUCAUUUACAUUGAAAAGAUAUUGUAAAAACAAUUAAUUUGA